AUUUACCAAACAUACUAGCUAAAUAGGGCAUUGCCUCAAACCCUUCUUUCGCGAGUUUCGUCUCUCAAUCGCAAAGGAGAAUAGCCAGAUGGCGCUGCCGGGCAGUUUUGGGAGCAGCAACUGGCGAAGCACUGAAAGUUGCUAAGAAUUUUGCAGAGAGAGCGAUCAACUUCGAUGAGAAACUCCAAGGAGUCCAAUCCCGAGUGAGUGCUGUUAGAGAAAUUUUUUGGACGGGGAAUCGAAUCCUCAAAAUCUGAAACUGUUUCAGACCUAUCUGCAAGCUCUGCAGAUUAGGGAUGACAAGAAGAUGUUAGCGAAAUUGGAUGAAAUUGGCAAAGGAUUCGAACCAGUUUUUGGUCUGAAUACGAGGGUUCCCGUGCAUUCAGAACUUCUGCGACCCCACAGUCGUAUUCAGAUCACAAACUGGUUCGAAUGCUAUACCAAUUUCCUCCAAUUUCGCAAAAAUCUUAUUGUUAUCCCUAAUCUGCAGAGCUUGCACAUAGGUCUGAAACAGUUUCACCUGGGAAUCCUUCAUUUUUUUCACCUUCUUCGAAUUGGAAGCCUUCUCAAACAUAUUCCAACCCGGGGCUUCAGAGCACUUGCGAAUAAGCUCAUCCGCCUCUUCCAAUUGAUCGAUCAACAUUUUGGUUUCCUUACUCGGAGGGUUCAAUUCCCCAUCCAAAACCUCAAUCUCACGGUUCUCUAACAGCAUUCACUCGAGAUUGCACUCCUUAUCCAGCAAUUCAAUUGUUUCAAGAGGUGUUCCCCCUUGAAGAAGCGUAUCCAAUUGGAAGAAUGGCUUGUCACCUGCUUUCAGAUCGAUGUGCAAUCUACGUUGACAAGAGCUAGCAUGGUUACUGACCUGAAACUGAAUGAAAUAGAUGAAAUGAUUGGAAGAAUGUCCGAGUGUAACUCCGAUAGUUCGGAAUUUUCUAGUUGGAUUAGAUAUGCCUCUUCAAGAAUUGAAGAUGAAGUUGCUAAACAAUGAUGAACAGGUGAUCGUGCUUUCGGCUCCUGGAGGAUGUGGGAAGACUAGGUUGGCAAAAAGGCUCUGUCAUGAUGUCAAAAUUAAAGAUGGUGAGUGGCUGCAGGGGAGUCCUGAUGGCCCUUGCAGUACUUGGUGAAUCACUGCAAGGACAACCUGAGGUGAUACGGAGAUAUGCACUGAAGCAAGGAUACCAAACUAGCGUAGAUGCCUCGGGGUGAAAUGGCAUUUCUUGAAGAUCAGAGGAUCCCAGCCACCACUCUUUGAUCACUAGCAUUAGCGAUUGAAAUUUGAAAUGGCAUUUCUGUAAGCGGUUCAUGUUUGCAGUAUAAACCCAACUACCCAAGUAUCAGAUAGCAACAAUAAGUCUAUAACCAAUAUUCUCUAACCAAGUCCUUGUAGAAACAAGGUUAUAGUCCCCCAUGUUUGAAUCUAGUUGUAUCUAAUGUAGGUAUGUCAAUUUAAGGUGCUUAUGUUCUUGGUUACAAAUUGAGAUAGAUCUUGUUGUCUAUGAUAUAGAUAUGUCAAUUUUUGUUUG